rnacentral:rRNA from 1 species
UACAUGGGGUGCAAACGUUGCUCGGAAUUAUUGGGCGUAAAGCGCACGUAGGCGGUCCGUUAAGUCGGAUGUGAAAGCCCCCGGCUCAACCGGGGAAGUGCAUCCGAAACUGGCGGGCUAGAGUACGAAAGAGGGUCGCGGAAUUCCCGGUGUAGAGGUGAAAUUCGUAGAUAUCGGAAGGAACACCAGUGGCGAAAGCGGCUUCCUGGUCCAGCACCGACGUCAGGCACGAAAGCGUGGGGAGCAAACAGG